rnacentral:rRNA from 1 species
CCUACGGGAGGCAGCAGUGGGGAAUAUUGGACAAUGGGGGCAACCCUGAUCCAGCCAUGCCGCGUGUGUGAAGAAGGCCCUCGGGUUGUAAAGCACUUUCAGUGAGGAAGAACGCCUGGUGGUUAAUACCCAUCAGGAAAGACAUCACUCACAGAAGAAGCACCGGCUAACUCCGUGCCAGCAGCCGCGGUAAUACGGAGGGUGCGAGCGUUAAUCGGAAUUACUGGGCGUAAAGCGCGCGUAGGUGGCUUGAUAAGCCGGUUGUGAAAGCCCCGGGCUCAACCUGGGAACGGCAUCCGGAACUGGCAAGCUAGAGUGCAGGAGAGGAAGGUAGAAUUCCCGGUGUAGCGGUGAAAUGCGUAGAGAUCGGGAGGAAUACCAGUGGCGAAGGCGGCCUUCUGGACUGACACUGACACUGAGGUGCGAAAGCGUGGGUAGCAAACAGGAUUAGAUACCCGGGUAGUC